UGGGGAAUAUUGGACAAUGGGCGCAAGCCUGAUCCAGCCAUGCCGCGUGAGUGAUGAAGGCCCUAGGGUUGUAAAGCUCUUUCACCGGUGAAGAUAAUGACGGUAACCGGAGAAGAAGCCCCGGCUAACUUCGUGCCAGCAGCCGCGGUAAUACGAAGGGGGCUAGCGUUGUUCGGAUUUACUGGGCGUAAAGCGCACGUAGGCGGACUUUUAAGUCAGGGGUGAAAUCCCGGGGCUCAACCCCGGAACUGCCUUUGAUACUGGAAGUCUUGAGUAUGGUAGAGGUGAGUGGGAUUCCGAGUGUAGAGGUGAAAUUCGUAGAUAUUCGGGGGGACACCAGUGGCGAAGGCGGCUCACUGGGCCAUUACUGACGCUGAGGUGCGAAAGCGGGGGGGGCAAACAGG
rnacentral:rRNA from 1 species